rnacentral:misc_RNA from 1 species
AGGCGCGCAGCGGGGAGAGGAAGCGGUGGUGGAACGGCGAGGGCGCCGGCGAGAAAUACGGGAAGGAGAAGGAGAGGCCGGAGGACGACGACGAAGAGGAGGCGGACGUGGCGACCGCUGAGGAUGAGGAAGAGGACGUCGACGGAAGGAGCAGCCUCCGUCGCCGGCGAGUGGCGACGGCGGGGGGCGCCGGUGGUGGGGUUGAGGAGGGGUUGGGCAUUGCUGUGCAGCCUGUGCCGUGCCCGUGCGGCCGUGCGUUUCUUCUUGGUGUGGUCGUCAGGCAGAGGAGAGAGAGACACAGCGCUGGAGUCAGUAGAGGCGCAGCGCCCGGCGGGAGGGGAGAGCUGCGUUGGGCC